GACGAACGCUGGCGGCGUGCCUAAUACAUGCAAGUAGAACGCUGAAGGAGGAGCUUGCUCUUCUGGAUGAGUUGCGAACGGGUGAGUAACGCGUAGGUAACCUGCCUGGUAGCGGGGGAUAACUAUUGGAAACGAUAGCUAAUACCGCAUAACAGUAGAUGUUGCAUGACAUUUACUUAAAAGGUGCAAUUGCAUCACUACCAGAUGGACCUGCGUUGUAUUAGCUAGUUGGUGGGGUAACGGCUCACCAAGGCGACGAUACAUAGCCGACCUGAGAAGGUGAUCGGCCACACUGGGACUGGGACACGGCCCAGACUCCUACGGGAGGCAGCAGUAGGGAAUCUUCGGCAAUGGACGGAAGUCUGACCGAGCAACGCCGCGUGAGUGAAGAAGGUUUUCGGAUCGUAAAGCUCUGUUGUAAGAGAAGAACGAGUGUGAGAGUGGAAAGUUCACACUGUGACGGUAUCUUACCAGAAAGGGACGGCUAACUACGUG
rnacentral:rRNA from 1 species